rnacentral:rRNA from 1 species
AUUGAACGCUGGCGGCAGGCCUAACACAUGCAAGUCGAACGAGUGGCGGACGGGUGAGUAAUGUCUGGGAAACUGCCCGAUGGAGGGGGAUAACUACUGGAAACGGUAGCUAAUACCGCAUACCAUCGGAUGUGCCCAGAUGGGAUUAGCUAGUAGGUGGGGUAACGGCUCACCUAGGCGACGAUCCCUAGCUGGUCUGAGAGGAUGACCAGCAACACUGGAACUGAGAAACGGUCCAGACUCCUACGGGAGGCAGCAGUGGGGAAUAGUGCACAAUGGGCGCAAGCCUGAUGCAGCCAGGCCGGGUAUGUGAAGAAGGCCUUCGGGUUGUAAAGCACUUUCAGCGAGGGGGCGUUACUCGCAGAGGAAGCACCGGCUAACUCCGUGCCAGCAGCCGCGGUAAUAC